rnacentral:rRNA from 1 species
UACGAGAGCCCCGAGCGUUAUCCGGAAUUAUUGGGCGUAAAGGGUGCGUAGGCGGUUAUAUUAGUCGUGUGUUAAAUAUCCGGGCUUAACUCGGAAACUGCGCACGAAACGGUAUGACUUAGAGAGAAGGAGAGGUGUGCGGAACUCAUGGUGUAGGGGUGAAAUCCGUUGAUAUCAUGGGGAACACCAAAAGCGAAGGCAGCACACUAGCCUUUUUCUGACGCUGAUGCACGAAAGCGUGGGUAGCGAA